rnacentral:rRNA from 1 species
UACGUAGGGUGCAAGCGUUAAUCGGAAUUACUGGGCGUAAAGCGUGCGCAGGCGGUUCUAUAAGACAGAUGUGAAAUCCCCGGGCUCAACCUGGGAACUGCAUUUGUGACUGUAGAGCUGGAGUACGGCAGAGGGGGGUAGAAUUCCACGUGUAGCAGUGAAAUGCGUAGAGAUGUGGAGGAAUACCGAUGGCGAAGGCAGCCCCCUGGGUCGAUACUGACGCUCAUGCACGAAAGCGUGGGGAGCAAACAGG